UGCUGACCCCUAGUCCAGUGCU
rnacentral:piRNA from 1 species